UAAAAUCAAAUAAUGAAUGAAACGUGAAAAGGGGAUUAGGUUUUAUCAACGUUGUGACUAUUGCCCUUACUCAAAGAGCUUUCUUCUUCCCCUCUCAUAAACUCAGCGGCGCUGAUGACCAUCUUCGAUCUCUUUCUCCGGCAAAACAAAACACGACGCCGCCAUGAACUGAACUAAGAGCAUCUCUCCCCCUCGCCUCUCAUCUCAAACUCAAACCCUAAUUCGGAUCUCUCUCACUAACCCUAAAUCUGUGAAGCUCCAUUGAAUGCUCUAAGAAGCAUGAAUCAAGUGAAAGCUAUAGGGUUAUCAUUCAAUAGAUCUCGGGCAACGUCAUAGCAUCAAGAAAAGAAGAAAAAGAUAGCGAUUUCUCACACCACAUAGCGAUUUCCCUCUGAUUUCGUCUUGGAAUUAGGGAACAUCAGUUCCAAUAUGAGCUCUCGGUCGAGUAGGCAGACUGCUGUCAGAAGUUACCGGCGUAGACCUUAACCGAAUGCCGGCUGAUGAGAAUCGUGAGCAGGAAGGACCUUCAACUCAGUUGGAGCCUCAAUGAGUCGAAACUCAAGCCAACAACAACCAGCAACAACCCCCGUUGAUUGAUGUAGAGGCCAUUGAUGAUGAUGUUAUUGAAUCUUCCCCUAGGGCCUUUGCUGAGGGUUUAAAGAAAUCGAAGGUAUACUUUCAAGGGAUUCAAUAGACGACAAUAUAUUUCAAGUUGUUGCAACCCGUUUUUAUGGCUUAACAGGGGAAGAGUAUUUUGCUUGGUAGGAGAAUUCAUGAUGUGAUUGGUGUUAGGGAGAAGAUGGAGGAUAAAGAAUAGUGGAGGAUUUUGAUAGAAAGUUGUGGUUUUGAAAAUGUGAGUUUCUGAAAUAUAUGAAUUUCCAUUUUUUAGUGAAUUCAAGGGGUACAGCCUCCCCGGCACGCUUCCGCCUCAAUUGGUUAAGCUUCCAUACCUCAAAGUAGUUGAUUUUGCUUAUAACUACCUAAAUGGUACGAUUCUGAAGGAAUGGGGUUCGAUUGAACUAACUUCAAUCUCGCUACUUGUUAAUCGUUUGUCGGGGGAGAUUCCUAAGGAGUUGGGAAAUAUUACCACUCUAACAUACUUAAAAAAACCUUGACACUUUCCCUGAUGAAUACACAUUUUGGUGUAUUGCAGUAGGAUAAACAAUAAUAGUUUCAACGGAAAAAUACCGAGCUUCAUACAGAAUUGGAAAUAGCUUCAGAGACUAGAAAUGCAUGCAAGUGGACUGGAGGGACCUAUCCCGUCAAAUAUAUCGCUUUUGACUAAUUUAUCUCGACUGUGGAUUACUGACAUCAAUGGUCCAAGUCAGGAUAUUCCUAUUUUAAGAAACAUGACAGGAAUGAUAAGAUUGUAUGUUUGGACAAUGAAGGAGUUGGACAUGUUGGAUCUCAGUUUCAAUAAUUUGUUUGGUGAAAUUCCAGCGAGGGCUCAUGUGGGACAUUUGAGAUUUCUCUUGUUAACUGGCAACAAGCUAAGUGGUAGCGUACCUGACUCAGUAUUUGGUUUUGUCUUCAUACUAGAAGCUCAUUUAUGAUACUUUCAUGAUCGCAUAAUCUAAUGCUAGAAUUGUAUUUAUAAAACAUGGUUGUUCCUAAAUAAAUGCUAGAAUUGUAUUUACUUUCAUGAUUAAUUUUAUAUUGAUCAAUAUUAUUGC